AGUCCCUAACGAUCGCGAACACCUGUAUGAGGUCUUUCGCAGGCGGAAGGCUUCAUUUGGUGACCCCGACGUGAUCAUUAGGGAAU
rfam:Colinus virginianus strain Texas jcf7180006226312, whole genome shotgun sequence.